UACGAAGGGGGCUAGCGUUGCUCGGAAUCACUGGCGUAAAGCGCACGUAGGCGGAUUGCUAAGUCAGGGGUGAAAUCCCUCGGCUCAACCGGGGAACUGCGUCCGAUACUGGUGGGCUCGAAUCCGGGAGAGGGAUGUGGAAUUCCAGGUGUAGCGGUGAAAUGCGUAGAUAUCGUGGAGGAACACCGGUGGCGAAGGCGGCAUCCUGGACCAA
rnacentral:rRNA from 1 species